ensembl:lncRNA
GCUCUCUGUGAUACCUUGCCCAAGGACAGGGUAUACCAUAAAGUCUGUCAGGAUACAUAUCAAACACUCCCUCAUCUACAUCCGUCCGAUGCAAAAGAAUAUCGACACAACUCCUGUAGAACAUCAGACUGGCGGUUAUGGUCCCAAGGAAAAAUGUCUGACGUGUUCAGAAGAAUUCUUUUCAGUGAACUGAAGGAUCAUGUCAAACACUGCAAGUCUCCAAAUGAGAUCGACACAGCAUUACCUGAAAUUUGCCAUCCAGUGAGCCCAGAAUUUCCUUUUCCGACUAGUCCAGACAGAGAUAACUCAUCCUCUGAUACAGGAAUCAUUGACUUAACAGAUGACCAAGUUCCGUAAACA